rnacentral:lncRNA from 1 species
AAAAAUAUCACCCAACCCCUCUUCUCUAAACCUAAAUCAAAACCAAAAAACCUUUCCCUCCCAAAAGUCACCACCACCAACUUUUUUUUUCAUUUCACAUUUUUUCCUCAAAAUUUCUCACUCUCUAACACUCAUAACCCAACCCCUUUACUAAGCUUUCACCACAAAUAUUUUCAUUCCAAACCCCUUGCUUCACAUUCAAGCUUAACACCAUUUCUACCUAGCUUUUUUUCACAUUUUUGUGGGUAAUGAUUUUAACUUAAACUUUUUAACUUUUUUGUUUCUUUUUUUGAUUAAAAAUGGUUGCUUGUUCUUAGUUGGUCUUUUGAGAUGGUUUAGAUUAAAGCUUGCAAAAAAAUGAUUAACUUUGGUUUACUCACAUUUUUUAAAGAUUUUUUACUCUUACUAUCUUUUUUCACCUUUUUGUGGUUGCUUUGUGUGUGUUAUCAUUUUCUUUUAUUAUGGACUUGUUGUUGUAUUUG